GCUUUCGUGGUGUAGUGGUAUCACGCAUCCUUCACACGGAUGAGGCCUCCGGUUCGAUCCCGGACGAAAGCA
rfam:Nematocida parisii ERTm3 unplaced genomic scaffold supercont1.4, whole genome shotgun sequence.